AACACGUGGAUAAUCUGCCCUAAGGUGGAGGAUAACCUCGGGAAACUGAGAAUAAUACUCCAUAAGUCUAGGAUGCUGGAAUGCACUUAGGCUAAAAACUUCGGUGCCUUAGGAUGAGUCUGCGGACUAUCAGGUUGUAGUCAGGGUAAAGACCUGACUAGCCUACAACGGAUACGGGUUGUGAGAGCAAUAACCCGGAGAUGAUAUCUGAGACACGAUAUCAGGCCCUACGGGGCGCAGCAGGCGCGAAAACUUCGCACUGCGCGAAAGCGCGACGAGGGAAUCCCAAGUGUAUGCACGUAAGUGUAUACUGUUUCUCUGUUUAAAAAGCAGAGAGAGUAAGAGCUGGGUAAGACGGGUGCCAGCCGCCGCGGUAAUACCUGCAGCUCGAGUGGUGAUCGUUAUUAUUGGGCCUAAAACGUCCGUAGCCGGUCUUAUAAAUGCCUGGGUAAAUCGUAUGGCUUAACCAUACGAAUUCCGGGUAGACUGUUACACUUGAGACCGGGAGAAGCUAGAGGUACUCCUGGGGUAGAGGUGAAAUUCUGUAAUC
rnacentral:rRNA from 1 species